rnacentral:rRNA from 1 species
UGAGUAAUCUGCCCUCGACACUGGGAUAGCCCGGGGAAACCCGGAUUAAUACCGGAUAGCCUUUCGAGCUCUCGGGCUCGUCAGAAAAGGAUGGCUUCGGCUUUCGGUUGAGGAUGAGCUUGCGGUGGAUUAGCUUGUUGGUGAGGUAACGGCUCACCAAGGCGACAAUCCGUAGCUGGUCUGAGAGGACGAUCAGCCACACUGGGACUGAGACACGGCCCAGACCUCGUACCGGGGA